rnacentral:rRNA from 1 species
GGAAGGGGUGUAUUUAUUAGAUAAAAAAUCAAUGCCCUCGGGCCUUUUGAUGAUUCAUAAUAACUUUUCGAAUCGCAUGACUUCGUGUCGGCGAUGGUUCAUUCAAAUUUCUGCCCUAUCAACUUUCAAUGGUAGGAUAGUGGCCUACCAUGGUUUCAACGGGUAACGGGGAAUAAGGGUUCGAUUCCGGAGAGGGAGCCUGAGAAACGGCUACCACAUCCAAGGAAGGCAGCAGGCGCGCAAAUUACCCAAUCCUAAUUCAGGGAGGUAGUGACAAUAAAUAACGAUACAGGGCCCAUUUGGGUCUUGUAAUUGGAAUGAGUACAAUGUAAAUACCUUAACGAGGAACAAUUGGAGGGCAAGUCUGGUGCCAGCAGCC